rnacentral:rRNA from 1 species
AUUGAACGCUGGCGGCAGGCCUAACACAUGCAAGUCGAGCGGAUGAAGGGAGCUUGCUCCUGGAUUCAGCGGCGGACGGGCGAGUAAUGCCUAGGAAUCUGCCUGGUAGUGGGGGAUAACGUCCGGAAACGGGCGCUAAUACCGCAUACGUCCUGAGGGAGAAAGUGGGGGAUCUUCGGACUUCACGCUAUCAGAUGAGCCUAGGUCGGAUUAGCUAGUUGGUGGGGUAAAGGCCUACCAAGGCGACGAUCCGUAACUGGUCUGAGAGGAUGAUCAGUCACACUGGAACUGAGACACGGUCCAGACUCCUACGGGAGGCAGCAGUGGGGAAUAUUGGACAAUGGGCGAAAGCCUGAUCCAGCCAUGCCGCGUGUGUGAAGAAGGUCUUCGGAUUGUAAAGCACUUUAAGUUGGGAGGAAGGGCAGUAAGUUAAUACCUUGCUGUUUUGACGUUACCAACAGAAUAAGCACCGGCUAACUUCGUG